GCCCCCUCUUCAAAGCUUUCUUUUUUGGAGUUGUCAUGCCAAAGGAGGAUUUAAUUAGGGUUCUGUAUGUGCAUUUCCAAUGGAAAUGGUCACACUUGGGCCACCAUGCUAGAUAAAACUUCUUUAAAGCACCUGAGAGAGAGAGAGAGAGAGAGAAAGAACACCUCCAGAGAGCAGCCUGCUGAUAGAACCUACUUCUAACAAUAUGGACAAGGCUUUGUUGGAUGUCACUGGCAGAGAGAUCAGGAGCUCAAGAUAAUCUUAAUGGCCACAGCAGGUGAGCAGCAGUUCUUGCAUGACCGGUGGCUCUCACCACACGUCGCUACCACACAGAAGUUCCUUGUUCGUGCAUGGUGGCCUUCAGACAGACCUGCUCAAAUUCCUGCAUUUUGGAAUGGGCUGCUUUGAGGAGGUUUUGUGUCACAAAAGAAUCCCAAGAAGGGGAAAAAAUAAAUAGUUUCUUGCUCUGGCCUGGCAAUUGCAAGCUUGGUGUUUCCUGCUCUCUACACACGGAAUCCUUGCCUCUGGCUAAGAUUAAAAGCGUGAAACUGCAUGGGGAAACACAAGAAGGCUUGUCUCUGCAGACAGGCAAAGUGCUGUUUGCCAGAUUUGUGGCACUCUGAGAGCUUGCUGUACGCAUCUGCCCAGCAAAGUUAUCUGGUGGUGAGAAAUCCGAGGAUUCUGAGCGUUUUUUCAUGGAGAAACUUUGAAAGUCAAGCAAAUACUUUUAUCUUGACCUUUCUGCAAGGCUGCCCCACAUUCACUAGUUGUCAGCACAUGUUUGUCUGGAGUCAUUCGUCACUGCCAUCCGUCACUCCUCUGCCAUUCCCAUCAGUCCCAUUAUCUGGGAUCAGGAGAGAGCUGAGGAUGUAGCCUGAAGGAUCAUUAAACCUCAGCUUCCAGGUACUGCAGGUAGUCCAGGUGGUCUGUUGUUAUUUAUAAUAAAGAAACAACACAGCAGAACUGCCUGGCAGUGGCCCAUGAGGCCCAGAGAAAGGACGGGCUGAGGGAUGUCAUCACUGAAGGACAGCUAAAAGUGGACUUUCUUCCUCCCACACUGUAAGCAGAGAGGAUUUAUUGAACAUCUGUUCAGUACAUGGCUGGGAAGAUUGAUUAAUUUAAUUGCUCACACUUUGCUUAAGUAACAUUUGAAUACUUAAUGUCAGGUUUGAAGGAUAUUACAACAUUUACUCGCACACCUUUUUAAAGAGGCAGAGUUUCUCAUUGCUUUUUGUGUCUUUCAAGGAAGCUGAAAUGCAUCCUGAAAUUUACUUUGCCCAGAGGUCUGGGAAAACUGGAGAAAGUGGGAAAAGCUCCUUUCUUCAUAAAUGCAGAGUGGUGUCUUUUCCUAAUUUGCCAUGGUCAAGCACCUGAAUCCUAUUUGCUUCUCCUGUGAUGGCAGCUUGAUAUGAAAAUUCAGAAAAAAAAGUGUCUUUGUGAAUCCAGGAUUUCCAGGACAGAAUGAACGCCCAGAGGCUGUUCCUGGUCUCACCACAGUGUGUGGGAACACUUUGCCAGCUAUAUAAACAUCCUAUAAAUGAAGAUAACACUUGUAACUUCAGGGCUCCCAUGUUCUGAACUCUUAUUUCAUCUUGUCUGAAGCAGCAAUAGUAACAUGAAUAUUUUACCUACUUUGGCUUUUUUUUUUUUUCCUCUGCUGUGUUUAAUUAUGUUCCUUUUAUUGUGGAUACCAUAGGACUUAGAAGUGUGUUCAAAAUGCCAUUCUAUAUGGUUUAAUCCCUCUGGUGGUUACUGGGUUUGAGUGCCUGUAACAAACCAAUUGCUCUUAGUCAUUUCCCCUCAUUAUCAGAUGUUUGAUGGGAUGACUUAGAACCUUGUAAGCUUAAGGUUUUGAGGCAACAGUAACGAAAAUAAAAAUUACCUCAUCUCUUUUGAUUGUUAUGUGCUCUGCAUUAAUUCAUACAGUGGAUUUUUUUAUACUAAAGUUUUCUUAAGAUAUGACAAGUGAUUAUUUCUUUAAGUAUGUACUCUAUCCAUUAUUAAAUUGAUUAUUCAAAUCUCAUUUAAAACAAGAGGCCAGAUGGCAAUAUUCCAGUAUUUGUUGCUACUAGCAACCAAAAACCCCAAACUGAAUGAUUUUCCAUUUUUCACUGUGGAUGAAGAGAUCUCUUCAUUUUACAUGCAAUAAAAAGAAGCUACAGCUCACCAAUUAUGAAACCAGAUUGUUAUACUAAUACUUUAUAAAAAUCAUUCACUGACAUUCUGUUACUCUUGAUGACCUCCUGAUGUAUGUGAUCUAAUUCUAGGUUUGUUAACUUUGUUACCAAUUAUAAUUUUUAGUUAGAAUAAUAUUGUCAGGAAAGGAAGGCUUUUUUCUUUUUCGUUAUCUUGCUCAGAUUAUGAGACUCCAAUUAAUGAGAUUAUGGCUAUUCUAAGAAAGUAUAAGAAAAAAUAAAAUUAAGAAAGGUUCAGAACAUAAUUUACAUGGUGGUUGGUACAUGUGAUUUAAGUAAAAGAAAUGUAUUUUGAGAAUAAA